GCCCAGUUAGCUCAGUCAGUAGAACAUGAGACCCUUAAUCUCAGGGUUGUGGGUUCAAGCCCCACAUUAGGCA